CUUGGAAAAUAAAACUGCAUUAGUUAUGCAUAAACAGAGUAAUGUUUGCUUAUUUAUUUUUAAAAUAUUAGAAAAUUAUAAAUUAGGGGUUAUCAGGGCAACUUUAAUUUUAAUAUAACACAACAACAUUUACUUUUGGCCCACAGCCCUCAGUCAGGUUUGGCCCUUGUAAGGAAAAUGUUCGGGGCACCAAUGAAUGUUCUAGUCUAUCUGAGGAGGUAACUUUUAGCAUAUGAUAAUGCAUGCUUGCACAAAGUCAGACCACAUAUUAUAAUGUUUGUCUUCAAUCAAUCAAUUUAAACAAAAGAGAUGGGGACUUUAUAAUAUAAUAAGGGUCCAUAUAUCACAGUGAAAAAAGACAUACAUGUAUUUUUACUUUAACAUGAACUAAUGCUGAGUUACAGCAUAUCCUAAUCAUAUAUUGAAGAGUCAUCAUUAACUACAACAUGACAUGUUUUUCAUUGUUAGUUAAUGCAGUCAUUAACAAUAAAUUAAUUUGAGUUCAUGUUGUAGUUAAGUAAGUUCAGUAAGUUACAUGUCUUAACUCAGCAUUAGUUUAUAUUUACUUAUAUUUAAGUAAGAAUUCAUUUAGGUAUACGUUCAAUGUUUCCAAUGAUGAGCAGUUAAUCCACUAAACCCAGAGAUAAUUCCUGAGGCAUGUUUAAAGAGUUUUGUAUUUCAUCAAGAAGGUGCUGAUUCACAAAGAUUUUAAAUUUAAGAAAAUCUGAGCAUCAUUCCAAAUAACUGUUAACAUGUUUGUCAACUAAACAUGUUUUGUAAACGUAAUAAACUUUAUAAAAAUAUUUUUUAUUUUGUAUUAAUAAUCAAGUAUAAAGAACAAUGCAUAGUGUGAAAAUGCGGAUUAUAAAAAAGUAUAUUAAAGAAAAGGACUACAUUUCCCAGAAUGCACCUGCACCCACUCAUCUGACUGCCCCCACCCUUCAGGUGCGACUGCUCAACCUAUGGGCUUGACGGAAAAUUCAAAUCGCGAACCGUUACUGCCUGGACUACUCCGUCUCUUGUUUGUUUGUUUGUUUGCUCAUUAACAGUAAGAGGUCAUGUACACUGUGGUCAACUUUGUGGACGAUGAAGAGGUUUCUGGGUAAAGAUGAUAGAAAUAUAAUGAAGUACCGGUAACAGUGAAAGCUAAAACAUCCGACUGAUCCACACUGAAGAAAUUGAUGUCACUGCAAUCUGGCCAAAAUGAUACAACUAUAUUGAACUAGCCUACUGUAAUGAAGCUGCAGAACAACACAGAGACUCUUGAGGACAUCAACAUAGAAAAUGAAGCAAGAAGAUGUAUAUUAUGAAGUUCUUUGAUCAUAUAUUGUUGUAUCUUUGUACAGUUUAAUGCAGUGGUUCUUAACGUUAUUCCUGGAGGCCCACUGCUCUGCACAUUUUGUAUGUCUCCUUUAUUUAACACACCUGAUUCAAAUCAUCAGCUCAUUAGAAGGGAUCUCCAUGAACUGAACUACGUCUGUCAGAUAAAAGAGAUAUACAAAACAUGCAGGGCAGUGGGCCUCCAGGAAUUACGUUAAGAACCACUGGUUUAAUGUAAACUUUCUAAAAUGUACAACUUUAAUUCUAUGUCAUUUGAUUUGUCGUGUGUGUGUAUGUGUAUACGUAUAUGUGUAUUAGUAUUAUGCCAAAUACUUAUAUGUACUUUUAUAUUUCCAAAGAGAUGUCUGUCCAGAUGAGGGUGCAUCAACGUUACCUUUGCUGACAAGUAUAUGCUUUACAAUGUAAAACCUAACAGUUAACUUAACUCAAACCAUUUAAGGAAAUCGGUUGCCUUAACCCAUUAAGUUUUAAAAAAACAUACAUUUGAGUACUGUGAACUUAAGUCUUGUGCAAUUAUGCACUUAUAUUUAGUUAGUGUGAACUUAAAUAUAAGUGCAUAACUGCAUGUGACUCAAUUUGUUUAAGUUCACAGUACUCAAAUCUAUGUGUUUUAAAAAAUAAAAUGGUUUAAUGCAACCGGUUUUCUUAAAUGGUUUGGGUUUAGUUAACUUUUAGGUUUUACUGUGAGAAAUUCUUGAAUAAUUCCAAGACAGAGCUCUGCAAUUGUAUCUACACUGCAAAAAAUCAGUUUCUAACUUAGGAUUUUUAUCUUGUUUUUAGUAGAAAAACUAAAAAUUCUUAAAUCAAGAUGUAUUUUCUUGAUGAGCAAAAUUACCUAAGAAAAUGUCUAGUUUUUAGACAAAAAUAUACAAUUUAAGUAAAUUUGUGCCUGAACAAGCAAAAAUAUAUAACAAUGGGGUGAGAAAAUUGUGCUUGAAUUAAGUUUUUAAGAAAAAAGAAAACUUAAGAUUUUUUCUCACACCAUUGGCAGAUAUUUUUGCUUGUUUUAAGCACAAAUUCACUUAAAUUGUGUGCAUUUAUUUAUUUUGUCUAAAACUAGACUUAUUUUCUUAGGUCAUUUUGUUCAUCAAGAAAAAGCAUUUUAUUUAAAUAAUAUUUCUACUGAAAACGAUACAAAAAUACUAUGUAAGAAAGUCAUUUUUUUUUGCAGUGUAGGACUGAUUUCUUAAAGCAAGAUCAAUAUAGUUGUUGUUCAUUUUAUUUAGAUAUUUACUACAUUACAGUGGCAGCUGGUGACUUCUUUUUUUGUGAGCACUCGAUGCAAAGUCUGUCACAUGUAUAUAGCCAGUCAUUUGUGUGGUUCCCAAUUUCAAAAUAUGUGUUCUGCGUGUAUGUGCAUCACGUGUUUUGACUAAACAUGUGAUGCACAUGGUUUACAUGAACCAACAAACACAUUUUAAAAACACAAGCAACACACAUGACACUCCGAACACUUAUUUUGAAUUUGCACCCCUCGGAUGAGCAGUCACGAGCCACCACUGCUACUUUACAUUGUACUGCUUUGAAUGUAGUUUUCAUUGUCGCUUUUAUUUUGUUUUAUUUUACUCUAAUAUUGCUUUCUCUGUCUGUAUAUUUAUGAGUUUAAAUAGUAUUGUUUAUGUAUGCAACUUUUAAUAUUUGUGUAUAAUAUUAUUUUGUGAUGGUGACAAUUGUGAAUU